rnacentral:tRNA from 1 species
GGGUCUAUAGCUCAAUUGGGAGAGCGCCCGCCCUGCAAGCGGGAGGUUUCCGGUUCGAUCCCGGAUAGAUCCACCA